GUUGUAUGAGAAAAAAUGAUUUUAGGAGACAGAAUGAAGAAUAAUUGGUAAAAAAACAUUAAUUCUAAUAUUUUAGCUGAAUAAACAAAGAAAAAAAAUUCAAGAAAUAAAUAAAUGAUGAGACAUGAUUUCCUAGACAAAUUAUAAAAAAAAUGUAGAACUAAAUAUGAAAAUGGAAUAGACAUCCAAAAAUAAAAAUGAAAACUAUAUUUUGCACCUUCGAAUUUACGGCAUUUGACAGGUCUCCUGGGAUCGUCGGAGUGAAUUUGAUCAUAGAUCUCUCCCUCCUAAUCAGCCACCUCUUUCUCUCUCCUCUAGGGUUUGUUCUUCUACUACAAGCUACUCUGAUUAAUCAGUUCUUAUAGCAGGAAAUAGUUGGGAAAUUGAUUUGGAUAAUUCAACAAUGGAUUGGGGAAGCGUAACAGCGGAAGAUCUGAUCGACGCUUUGAGAGAAGUUGAUUGGUCGUCUCCACCUCGACCCUUUUCUGAAUUCUUUUCCAGAUUCACUCUUCCUCGUUCUUAUCCCAAAUGGAACAGUCGCCUCAAAUGCAAUCUUUACUACUAUCGGACCAACUACUUUGUCAUGAUUAUCUUCAUUCUUGGCUUGGGCUUUCUUAGGAGGCCACUUGCAAUUGUUGCUGCUGCCUUAACAGCUCUUACCAUUGCUGUUCUGAAUGACAGCUUUGCAGGUACAUUCAAUGAGAAGGUAACUAGAACUGUGAGGCAGUUUUCUCCACACAUUGCUGCGAAAAUGAGGCCUCCACUUACGCCAAUGUGGUCUUGUUUUAAACACAUCAAGAAACUGUUUUGCAACCCAACUAGCUUUAAGUUGUCUAUUCUUCUUCAUGUUUCGAUGACAGGCCUGUCAUCCGUGGACGUCCUUCGGCCAAAAGAGCAAUAUUUAUCUGUGGACGGCCCCGUUGGGUGUUUGUGUCAAUAUUCUCUACUGCGAGUUUCCUCUUGUGGUUUGCAUCUUGUGGUCUCCUCACUGUUCUAUUGGCAUUUUUUAUUGGACUUCUCGCCACUGUACUCCAUGCAAGCUUUCGGACUCCCAACUUGAAAGCACGUCUAAACACAUUUCGCGAAGAAUUUCGCGCAGUUUGGCGAAAUUAUAGUGAGCUUUAGCUUUAUGAGCUGUACAUAAUGCUGAUCCAUCUGUAUCGACAUGUGACAAAGAUAUGGAUUUGGAGUCGUUACCCGGCAUUUAGCCCUGCAAUCGGAUACUUCAAGCUGCUAUGAAUGCUAAGUAAAGAUGGGAGAUAGCAUGAGAGAAGAAGGCUCAACAAAGUGAUCUACUUACACUUAAACAGAGUAGUAGAUCCUCCCGUCUCCCCUUCUUUUCAGCAACUUGCCGCUGUUUGUAAUUGUUUUUUUUUUGGUAUUUCUCUUUGUUUUUAUACUAAAAAUAGAAAUAUGGAAACCACCUACAGUAAUUUCCAGUUUUCCGUUGUCAAAAUAAAAACCAUGCGAAUGAAUAUAAUUACUUUUGAGUUUAUCAUAUAAA